rnacentral:rRNA from 1 species
GAAGGGGGGCUAGCGUUGCUCGGGAAUCACUGGGGCGUAAAGGGUGCGUAGGCGGGUCUUUAAGUCAGGGGGGGGGUGAAAUCCUGGAGCUCAACUCCAGAACUGCCUUUGAUACUGAAGAUCUUGAGUUCGGGAGAGGUGAGUGGAACUGCGAGUGUAGAGGUGAAAUUCGUAGAUAUUCGCAAGAACACCAGUGGCGAAGGCGGCUCACUGGCCCGAUACUGACGCUGAGGCACGAAAGCGUGGGGAGCAAACAGGAUUAGAUACCCUGGUAGUCCACGCCGCAAACGAUGAAUGCCAGCCGUUAGUGGGUUUACUCACUAGUGGCGCAGCUAACGCUUUAAGCAUUCCGCCUGGGGAGUACGGUCGCAAAGAUUA